AACGUAGGACGCAAGCGUUAUCCGGAAUUACUGGGCGUAAAGCGCGUGUAGGUGGUUGCCUAAGUCACUGUUGAAAGCUCCCGGCUAAACUGGGAGAGGUGCGGUGAGACUGAGCGGCUAGAGUAUGGGAGAGGGAUGCAGAAUUCCGGGUGUAGUGGUGAAAUGCGUAGAGAUCUGGAGGAACACCGAUGGCGAAGGCAGCCUUCUGGGCCAACACUGACGCUCAUGCACGAAAGCGUGGGGAGCAAACAGG
rnacentral:rRNA from 1 species